rnacentral:rRNA from 1 species
CUACCCUUGACAUGUACGGAAGCCACCAGAGAUCGAGGUGUGCUCGAAAGAGAACCGUAACACAGGUGCUGCAUGGCUGUCGUCAGCUAGUGUCGUGAGAUGUUGGGUUAAGUCCCGCAACGAGCGCAACCCUUGUCAUUAGUUGCUACGAAAGAGCACUCUAAUGAGACUGCCGGUGACAAACCGGAGGAAGGUGGGGAUGACGUCAAGUCCUCAUGGCCCUUAUGGGUAGGGCUUCACACGUCAUACAAUGGUACAUACAGAGGGCCGCCAACCCGCGAGGGGGAGCUAAUCCCAGAAAGUGUAUCGUAGUCCGGAUUGUAGUCUGCAACUCGACUACAUGAAGUUGGAAUCGCUAGUAAUCGCGGAUCAGCAUGUCGCGGUGAAUA